rnacentral:rRNA from 1 species
UACGAAGGGUGCAAGCGUUACUCGGAAUUACUGGGCGUAAAGCGUGCGUAGGUGGUUUUUUAAGUCCGUUGUGAAAGCCCUGGGCUCAACCUGGGAAUGGCAGUGGAUACUGGAAAGCUAGAGUGCGGUAGAGGGUAGUGGAAUUCCCGGUGUAGCAGUGAAAUGCGUAGAGAUCGGGAGGAACCCCAGUGGCGAAGGCGGCUCCCUGGACCAGCACUGACACUGAGGCAGGAAAGCGUGGGAGCAAACAGG